UACGGGGGGGUAAGCGUUGUUCGGAAUUACUGGGCGUAAAGGGCUCGUAGGCGGCCAACUAAGUCAUACGUGAAAUCCCUCAGCUUAACCGGGGAACUGCGUCUGAUACUGGAUGGCUUGAGUUCGGGAGAGGGAUGCGGAAUUCCAGGUGUAGCGGUGAAAUGCGUAGAUAUCGGGAGGAACACCAAUGGCGAAGGCAGCUCGCUGGGACGGUACUGACGCUGAGACGCGAAAGCGUGGGGAGCAAACAGGG
rnacentral:rRNA from 1 species